AGUCGGUUGUCAUGGAAAACUUGACAGCGCUUCUUCAUUCCCAGGGUUCCGUGAGAGCCGUUUGCCCCACCCCACCUCUUCAGCGCUAUCUAUCUCAAUGUACAAUUCUCUGAGAAAAAAAAACGGGGGCAAAAAUUAUUCAGAGAAACACCGCGAACGGAGCAACUCUCACUUACCAGACCGGUUCAACGGAGCGGCCGCGGGCUAUCGGCGCCGAAAGCAACUGCCUGCCUCCGUUUGGAUGAAGGAAUACAAAAAGGAGAGAGACUUGACAGCGGACUGUGCUCCUGCUGCUGCUUGCGCCAAAACGGGGGACACAGCGGAGGAUUUCCACAAAUAUCGUCCGGAUAUUUGGUCACGGAGACGGACAGCCAGCUGCCGAGAGCUGCCUGUGCUCGGCCGGAGAAGAUUUCCGAUGUGAGGAGAAACACAAAUUAACGCUACGGAGAGAAAAAGGACGGACUAGGGGCCUUUUUCCUUUUCUAUUUUUUUUUUGUUUUGUUGGUCAAACCCUCCUUAAAAAAGACGGACACCCGCAUCUAUUGAUCGAAGACAGGACUGAAUUUUUUGGCACAGGAUAUCACCAAUAAGGUUGCUGAGAGCCUUCCUGAAUAAAAUAAAAUGUGAGAGAUUUUGGAAGAAGCCCCGGUGUAGCCUGAUGAUUCACAUGCCGUCAUUUUAAGAGGAAAUAUAUAUAUWUUUUAAAAUUUCUCUCCCUCUCGUCCUCUAAUGUUCUUCUGUUUGUUUGACGCUCAAUUGCAGUCAGUUCGAUUAAUAAACCUAAAUAUCUAUUUUUAAACAAGAGUAAUUGAGAAAGGGAGACUGAAGAAAACAGAGGUCUGUCUGAAAUGGAUUGAAUGGCAGUGGGAGUUAUCAGCCGAAGAUGGGCUCCUGAGGGGACAUUUGCUGAGAAAAAAGAAAAAUAUUUGUAUCAUCGCUAUAAAAAAUAUAACAAACUAAAAAAAAAAAAAGCAGAGGCCGGUGUUUGAGAUCCCUAAGCCUUGAAGGAAUCUGGGGCGCAGAGAUUCAUUCAUGAGCAGCCAGAAAGCUGGAAAUUCCACAUCCACUCUUAUAUCAGCGUUGAUGACUUCAUUGCGGAUUUACAGUGAAAAACACGGGAAUCAAGUGUUUGAGAGGGCGGGAUCGUUUGCUCCACUUCUGAUCUCUCUCUGCUGAUGGUUUUCCAGUAAAAAAAAAAAAAAAAA